AUUAGAGUAUUUAAACCAGCACGGGCGUAGAAAAAAUCUACGCCCGUGUACUUAUUUUGAAAGCAGGAAGAAUAGC
rnacentral:sRNA from 19 species